AACCGUGCCCUUCGGGGCUAUUUUACAAACAUGGUGUAAUGAACGUCAUAUAUCAUAACAAAACAAAACUUUCAACAACGGAUCUCUUGGCUCUCGCAUCGAUGAAGAACGCAGCGAAAUGCGAUAAGUAAUGUGAAUUGCAGAAUUCAGUGAAUCAUCGAAUCUUUGAACGCACCUUGCGCCCUCUGGUAUUCCGGAGGGCAUGCCUGUUUGAGUGUCAUGUAGACUCAAUCCCUCGGGUUUCCGAGGAGAUUGGACUUGGGUGUUGCCGCUCUGCCGGCUCGCCUUAAAAGACUUAGCGGGAUAGCACCGUAGUCGGCGUAAUAAGUUUCGUCGGUGAAGGUUGUGAUGACUGCUUACAAUCGCCCUCGGGCAAUUUUUGACUCUGACCUCAAAUCAGGUAGGAUUACCCGCUGAACUUAAGCAUAUCAAUAAGCGGAGGA
rnacentral:rRNA from 1 species